rnacentral:rRNA from 1 species
GAUGAACGCUGGCGGCGUGCCUAAUACAUGCAAGUCGAGCGAACGGACGAGAAGCUUGCUUCUCUGAUGUUAGCGGCGGACGGGUGAGUACACGUGGAUAACCUACCUAUAAGACUGGGAUAACUUCGGGAAACCGGAGCUAAUACCGGAUAAUAUUAUGAACCGCAUGGUUCAAAAGUGAAAGACGGUCUUGCUGUCACUUAUAGAUGGAUCCGCGCUGCAUUAGCUAGUUGGUAAGGUAACGGCUUACCAAGGCAACGAUGCAUAGCCGACCUGAGAGGGUGAUCGGCCACACUGGAACUGAGACACGGUCCAGACUCCUACGGGAGGCAGCAGUAGGGAAUCUUCCGCAAUGGGCGAAAGCCUGACGGAGCAACGCCGCGUGAGUGAUGAAGGUCUUCGGAUCGUAAAACUCUGUUAUUAGGGAAGAACAUAUGUGUAAGUAACUGUGCACAUCUUGACGGUACCUAAUCAGAAAGCCACGGCUAACUACGUG